GAUAGUAUAACCAUACAAUAACUAGUAUGAUAAGACUCAUUAAGAGACACAGUUUCAUUACCGUUGCAUUUGAAGCAAUAACAACAUUUGCAAUCCUUUCGAAGAUCUCUGUGGAAUGCAUGGGAGACGAUGGUGAUGGUUGACUGAAAGAAAACGUUUCGCAGCAGAGUUUGAAUUUAUUAAUAUUCAUUUUCACUACACCAUUCAAGGAUAAUAAUAAAUGAAAAACUACUCAACGUAUAACAUACAUGUUGCACGUGCACUUCACUAGUCUCCAGUUGGGUGACCAAGGCAAUUCCCAAACAUCUUCAGCUGUCGGAGAAGAGGACUCUUCUUCAACGUGUUCAAUAUAUCAACCAUCCCAUCAUCUGUGAUCUUGUUGUACGAGAUGUCCAGCGAUAAGAGCUUUGAAAACGGAAGAGAAAAGCUUAGCUCCCUGAAAGCAAUCGCUGUUUGGUCACUUCCUAUCUUAAUUUCAGGGUGAGAUAUUGAAGAAAAUAAAUCUGGGUAGGUUUCAAUUGUUUUGAAACAAACUUUGAUUUUCAUAGAAAUGUUCAGACAAUAUGUGGCA